rnacentral:rRNA from 1 species
CUCAAAGGAAUUGACGGGGGCCCGCACAAGUGGUGGAACACGUGGUUUAAUUCGAUGCUACGCGAGGAACCUUACCAGGGCUUGACAUGCUAGAAGUAGUAUCCCGAAAGGGAGUCCGACCGGUAACCAGUCCGGAACUAGUACAGGUGCUGCAUGGUUGUCGUCAGCUCGUGCCGUGAGGUGUUACCUUAAGUGGUAAAACGAGCGCAACCCUCGCUCUUAGUUGCCAUCGAUCUCUUUGAGAUGCUGGGCACUCUAAGGGGACUGCCUACGUUAAGUAGGAGGAAGGCGGGGACGACGUCAAAUCCGCAUGGCCCUUAUGUCCUGGGCUACACACGUGUUACAAUGGCGUAUACAACGAGCGGCAAGACCGUAAGGUGGAGCGAAUCUCAAAAAUACGUCUCAGUACGGAUUGAGGCUUGCAAUUCAGCCUCAUGAAGCUGGAAUCACUAGUAAUGGCGCAUCAGCCACGGCGCCGUGAAUACGUUCCCGGGCCUUGUACACACCGCCCGUCAAGCGCUGAAAGUGGGAGGCGCCCGAAG